UUUUUAGUAUUCCGCCUGGGGAGUACGCUCGCAAGAGUGAAACUCAAAGGAAUGGCCGGGGACCCCCCACAAGCGGUGGAGCAUUUGGUUUAAUUUGCCGCAACGCGAAGAACCUUUCUUAAGCUAGAAUGUGAGGGAAGAAAGGGUAACUCCGAUCGUCUGGGAAACCAGACCCAAAACAAGGUGCUGCAUGGCUGUCGUCAGCUCGUGUCGUGAGAUGUUGGGUUAAGUCCCGCAACGAGCGCAACCCUUAUCAACAGUUGCCAUCAUUAAGUUGGGAACUCUGUUGAGACUGCCGUUGAUAAAACGGAGGAAGGUGGGGAUGAUGUCAAGUCAUCAUGGCCUUUAUGCUUAGGGCUACACACGUGCUACAAUGGCCGGUACAAAACGUCGCGAUCCCGUAAGGGGGAGCUAAUCGCAAAAACCGGUCUCAGUUCGGAUUGAAGUCUGCAACUCGACUUCAUGAAGUUGGAAUCGCUAGUAAUCGCGGAUCAGAACGCCGCGGUGAAUACGUUCCCGGGUCUUGUAUACACCGCCCGUCACAUCACGAAAGUAGGUUGUACUAGAAGUAGGAGGGCUAACCCGCAAGGGG
rnacentral:rRNA from 1 species